CAGGCCUAACACAUGCAAGUCGAGCGGUAACACAGAGAGCUUGCUCUCGGGUGACGAGCGGCGGACGGGUGAGUAAUGUCUGGGAAACUGCCUGAUGGAGGGGGAUAACUACUGGAAACGGUAGCUAAUACCGCAUAACGUCGCAAGACCAAAGUGGGGGACCUUCGGGCCUCAUGCCAUCAGAUGUGCCCAGAUGGGAUUAGCUAGUAGGUGGGGUAAUGGCUCACCUAGGCGACGAUCCCUAGCUGGUCUGAGAGGAUGACCAGCCACACUGGAACUGAGACACGGUCCAGACUCCUACGGGAGGCAGCAGUGGGGAAUAUUGCACAAUGGGCGCAAGCCUGAUGCAGCCAUGCCGCGUGUAUGAAGAAGGCCUUCGGGUUGUAAAGUACUUUCAGCGAGGAGGAAGGCGUUAAGGUUAAUAACCUUGGCGAUUGACGUUACUCGCAGAAGAAGCACCGGCUAACUCCGUGCCAGCAGCCGCGGUAAUACGGAGGGUGCAAGCGUUAAUCGGAAUUACUGGGCGUAAAGCGCACGCAGGCGGUCUGUCAAGUCGGAUGUGAAAUCCCCGGGCUCAACCUGGGAACUGCAUUCGAAACUGGCAGGCUAGAGUCUUGUAGAGGGGGGUAGAAUUCCAGGUGUAGCGGUGAAAUGCGUAGAGAUCUGGAGGAAUACCGGUGGCGAAGGCGGCCCCCUGGACAAAGACUGACGCUCAGGUGCGAAAGCGUGGGGAGCAAACAGGAUUAGAUACCCUGGUAGUCCACGCCGUAAACGAUGUCGACUUGGAGGUUGUGCCCUUGAGGCGUGGCUUCCGGAGCUAACGCGUUAAGUCGACCGCCUGGGGAGUACGGCCGCAAGGUUAAAACUCAAAUGAAUUGACGGGGGCCCGCACAAGCGGUGGAGCAUGUGGUUUAAUUCGAUGCAACGCGAAGAACCUUACCUACUCUUGACAUCCAGAGAACUUAGCAGAGAUGCUUUGGUGCCUUCGGGAACUCUGAGACAGGUGCUGCAUGGCUGUCGUCAGCUCGUGUUGUGAAAUGUUGGGUUAAGUCCCGCAACGAGCGCAACCCUUAUCCUUUGUUGCCAGCGGUCCGGCCGGGAACUCAAAGGAGACUGCCAGUGAUAAACUGGAGGAAGGUGGGGAUGACGUCAAGUCAUCAUGGCCCUUACGAGUAGGGCUACACACGUGCUACAAUGGCAUAUACAAAGAGAAGCGACCUCGCGAGAGCAAGCGGACCUCAUAAAGUAUGUCGUAGUCCGGAUUGGAGUCUGCAACUCGACUCCAUGAAGUCGGAAUCGCUAGUAAUCGUAGAUCAGAAUGCUACGGUGAAUACGUUCCCGGGCCUUGUACACACCGCCCGUCACACCAUGGGAGUGGGUUGCAAAAGAAGUAGGUAGCUUAACCUUCGGGAGGGCGCU
rnacentral:rRNA from 1 species